AUCGCUCCUUGUCCCUUUGUGAAGGUGAAGUGUGGUAUCUGUUCUUCUCAGUUGAGUAGCAGAGACUUCCUCUGUCUGAGGACAACACAGUAAAGAUAGACCUUUGGUGUUGGGAGAUGGAAUGGGAGCUUGCUCUGCCCACUCCAUGCAGAGAUCUGUUGCAGCACCUCUGGGAACGGUGCACUCCUC
ensembl:snRNA U2 U2 spliceosomal RNA